rnacentral:rRNA from 1 species
UAGGGAAUAUUGCUUAAUGGGCGAAAGCCUGAAGCAGCAACGCCGCGUGCACGAUGAAGGUCUUCGGAUCGUAAAGUGCUUUCUUAGAGGAUGAGGAAGGACAGUACUCUAAGAAUAAGCCUCGGCUAACUACGUGCCAGCAGCCGCGGUAAAACGUAGGAGGCGAGCGUUAUCCGGAUUUACUGGGCGUAAAGCGUGUGCAGGUGGUUUGGUAAGUUGGAUGUGAAAGCUCCUGGCUUAACUGGGAGAGGUCGUUCAAUACUGCCAGACUUGAGAGUGAGAGAGGGAGGUGGAAUUCCGGGUGUAGUGGUGAAAUGCGUAGAUAUCCGGAGGAACACCAGUGGCGAAAGCGGCCUCCUGGCUCAUUUCUGACACUCAUACACGAAAGCUAGGGUAGCAAACGG